CUCUUCUCCUGAGAGCAUCAAUCUGCUCUUCCCUCUCUUGACUCUUGCUGGUGUCUGAGUCUAUGGGAAAGUGUGCUUUACUGUGAACUUUUCUCUAGGCUGUUCUAUAUGCUGAAACCAAGAGACUAACAGAAGACAGAGACUUUAAGACACAUAAUCUGGAAAAAAAGUGGAAAGACAGCUUACUCAUGCAUUCAACAAACAUUUAUUGAGUGUCUGCUUUGUACAUGGCACUGGGCUGGAUUCUGUAAGAAACAGAAACAUAAAUGAUAUCUGCCUUCCAGAGCUUACACUACAGCAGGAAAGACAGUCUUUAAAUACACACACACACAUACACACACACACACACACAGUGUGCUAAUUUCCUUUAGUGGAAGGGAGGUGUUCUAUGGACCACAGAGGAGAGACCAUCCAAAACCAGAAGUAGGAAGGGGUUUCUCAUCAUUUAGGCUCUACUGCUGGCUAGACCCCUGGUCUUGAACAAGUUACUUAGCUACUCUGAGCCUCAGUUUCUAAAGGCUUUCUGCUUUUAGAAUCUGCCUUUAAAGUCAAGAUGCUCUCGAUGAGGCCUCUAGCACAAGACCUGACGCUCAAGGGACAUUGGGUGGGAUGAGUGAUGUAACCAACCAUGUGAAUAUGACUUGAGGAGAGAGAGCUCACCAUGGGUGGAGGUAAUCAAAGAAAGCUUCACAGAGAAGAGGGGGUGUAAGCUGAAUCCUGACAGGUGAGUCAGGAUUUAAAGAGGAAGAGGAAGAAAUGGGAGUGGAUGUGGGGAGAGGGAAACCCUGGCAAGACGGAAAUGUCAUUGGUGAAGGGCAGAGGUAGGAAAGGCAGAUGCGUACGCAAUGAGUAGACGUGUCCGGAUGGAAGAGAAGGUCACAGUGAAAUCAGAGGACAAGUGUCAGCAUUGCAGAGAGCCUGGAAGACGGGACUAGGGGUUCAGGGGAUGUUAGGACUCACGGGACAUAAGGACCACCUUGUCUGACCCUUCAUUUUACAGGUGAGGGAACUGAGACUCAGAAAACUUGCCCCAGGCCACAUCGGUAGUAAGCCUCUUGAAUGACAGUCUCAUGUUAUAUCCACUAUGCAGUGAUUUUCUAAUGGGGUGCUUUGGAACCCUAAGUUUCCAUAGAGGGGCCUCAGUGGCCUCCAUAUGAAAAAGGGGAGAGGAAGCUGGGGCCAUUCCAACAAUUUACCACUUGGAUAUACUAGGUGGUCACAUGAGGUCUCACUUGGGCUUUUAGAGGAGUCUCCUAAUUAAAAAAAAAUCUCCACUUUGCUACAGCAUGGUAGUUAAUUAGUUAGUUAGUGAUUAUAGACUAGAGAUUUUGAAGAUUCUGACUACGCAUAAGACUGACUCUUCUUAUGAGAGGUAUAAGCAAGAGGUUCAUGCAAUGUAGAUGCACAUGGAGGUCCAGUCCUGCCAGAACUUCAUGGAAAAUCACUGCACUUGACUUGGAUUCUGUUUUCAAGACUCAGAGUCUCCAUAUGAUACCCUGUAAUAAGCAGUGAUUUGAUACAUAAACAUCUAGCUGAUGUAAGAGAAGAGGUAACUACUCCAGACCCCCAGGACCCAAGACUAUUCUAGGACUCUUCUACUUCCUUAAAGCCCUUGACGUGUUUUAUUUAAGUUUGAAGAGUUUCCAGGUUUCUUUCCUGUGCUGGCCAAUGUUCAUUUUGACCUCAUGGGGGAAAGUAAUAGGAGAGGGGAGCGCACAAAGAGGAAAUACAUGUGUGAUGGGUCAGAGAUGAUUAAAGAUGAUUUGAAUAAAGUAUUAGUGUCCAGCAGGUUUGCAGGAAUGAAGAGUGAUUCCGGAUACUCAGAUGCCUUACAAAAUACAAAGCUGAUUGUCAGAGGCUAGUUUAUGUCACACCUGAAGUGAGCUUUUCUUUAGAGCAAGGCUGUAAUCCUAAGAAAGCAGCUUUUAAAGAAAUCAAACUUGAUCGAUGGACAGUAAACCAAACAACAAACAUUGGUCACUUCCUUUCUGCUGUUGGCUUCUACAGACCAGGAAUUAGCACACACCUCUGUGUGUGUGUGUGUGUGUGUGUGUGUCCGUGCGUGUAUUGUUGUUGUUUUAACCCACAAAACAGCCCUGUGAGGAGGAUACUUCCCUCAUCUUACUCAUGAGAGAACUGACUCUGUAACUUGCCAGGUCCCAUGAAUAACAACACAGGGCAAAGCUGAUUUCAGUCCAGGUCUAGAUAACUCAAAACAUUGCACUUCUAGAGCAAAGCCCAGACUCUGGAAUAUUCAGUAGACUUGUUGCCGCUGGUUUGACUUGAGUCGAUAGUUUAUGGUGGUUGGUAGAAAAACAAGGUUCGGAAAUCAGGUGGCAAAAGCCGGGCCCUUCUCUUAGUGGAGUCAAGUGCGUGCGGUCCUGCCUCCCAGGGGCGUGGUUCAUCCCUUGAGAAGUAACUGCUCCCCUUCUGCUCCCUUUCAGCUCUUCGUAAGAGAACCUGAAAAGCGCCUGGGGGUGAGGGGAGACAUCCGCCAGCACCCCUUGUUUCGGGAGAUCAACUGGGAAGAGCUGGAAAGGAAGGAGAUUGACCCUCCAUUCAGGCCUAAGGUGAAAUCACCGUACGACUGCAGCAAUUUCGACAAAGAAUUCUUGAAUGAAAAGCCCCGGCUGUCAUUUGCAGACAGAGCACUGAUCAACAGCAUGGACCAGAACAUGUUCCGGAACUUUUCCUUCAUGAAUCCAGGGAUGGAGAAGCUGAUAUCCUGAACUCGCCUCUCCAGACACACGAAGGGAUUUGCUUUCUCUCUGUGAACUGGUUCAAGUGACACUUCUUGGGUUCCUUUUCAACUUGGAAAAGAAAAGAAACACUCAACAAUAAAGGCUGAGCUCUUUGACCUCCUCACGGACUUUGCAUCUGUAGCCAACAAUAAAGGCUGAGCCCUUUGACCUCCUCACCGACUUUGCAUCUGUAGCAGAAACCAGCUCUGCUUCACUAAUGACGAUGCCCUUUGGAUUCUCCCCUGUCAUCUCUCACAGCCACUCUUGAAGUUAGGUCCUUCCUUACUGUAGUUAUGUACUUGAAGAUGGUUCUCCGCACUGUGGAAGAUUUGAAGACUUAAUUCCACUCUAAGUUAUGGCUCUUCACCUGGGCACUGCUGACCAGUGACAUACGUGUUGACUCAAGGAGCAGAGUCCAGACUACUCAAGACUGAAAGUGCACACUGCCUGGCGUAGCACGGGCAUCCACUCGGCCGCAGACAAGUAGCCACUAACCCAUUUUAUUCUGUUCACACCUGGGCGAGUGUCAAGGGUAGGGGGUAGGGGAAGCCCUGAAUAGGUUCUUAUGGGAAUUCUUCAUAAUAAACAUGCUUGUAACUUGA